rnacentral:misc_RNA from 1 species
UCCCUUAGCUCGGUCGCGCCUUCGGGCCUUCGAGCGGCGUGCGCUGCCUGUACCAUCUACCCGGUCCCACGGGAAGCCGACCCGACCCACACGCCAGUCCGCCCCCCCCGGCCUCGUCGGGCGAGGGGCGGUCGCGGCGCGGGCGUCGCGCGCCCCCGUCCCGGUCGGGCUCCCGACGUCCCGCGAGCGCUCUCGGAUGCGGCGGAUGCCGCGGGCUUCGGGGACUUCGGUCCCCGACCCGGACCUUCGGUCGGUCGUCGAGCCGCCCUCGUCGAGACGACGGCCGGCCCGCCGUCGGGCCCCUUCCGCCCCCCGCGGGCGGGCGGGCGCCCCGGCGGCGGCGCCGGC